rnacentral:lncRNA from 1 species
AAAUUAGAAUCACAAAUAGAUAGUUUAGAAUAUAUAUAUCAACAUGAACUAUUCACAAUAAAAUGAAUAAAGAAGAAUUUAUAAUAGAUGAAAAAAUAUAUGAAAAUCACGAAAGAAAGGAUCAAAAAUAAAAAUAGUAUUUUCUAAUCUAGGACGAAGAUAUAAGAAAAUAGGUGAACAUUUAUAUCUAAUGUUAGAAAAAGAAGAAUUAAAAUUAGAAGAUAAAUUGACA